GUACGGAAGGCAGCAGUGAGGAAUAUUGGUCAAUGGGCGAGAGCCUGAACCAGCCAAGUAGCGUGAAGGACGACGGCCCUACGGGUUGUAAACUUCUUUUAUAAGGGAAUAAAGUUCGCCACGUGUGGUGUUUUGUAUGUACCUUAUGAAUAAGCAUCGGCUAAUUCCGUGCCAGCAGCCGCGGUAAUACGGAAGAUGCGAGCGUUAUCCGGAUUUAUUGGGUUUAAAGGGAGCGUAGGCGGGCUUUUAAGUCAGCGGUCAAAUGCCACGGCUCAACCGUGGCCAGCCGUUGAAACUGUAAGCCUUGAGUCUGCACAGGGCACAUGGAAUUCGUGGUGUAGCGGUGAAAUGCUUAGAUAUCACGAAGAACUCCGAUCGCGAGGGCAUUGUGCCGGGGCAGCACUGACGCUGAGGCUCGAAAGUGCGGGUAUCAAACAGGAUUAGAUACCCCCGUAGUCC
rnacentral:rRNA from 1 species